rnacentral:rRNA from 1 species
GACGAACCGUGCGAACGUUGUUCGGAAUCACUGGGCUUAAAGGGCGCGUAGGCGGACGACCAAGUCGGGGGUGAAAUCUUUCGGCUCAACCGGAAAAUAGCCUUCGAUACUGGUCGUCUAGAGGGAGGUAGGGGCGUGUGGAACUUCCGGUGGAGCGGUGAAAUGCGUUGAUAUCGGAAGGAACUCCGGUGGCGAAAGCGACACGCUGGAUCUCAUCUGACGCUGAGGCGCGAAAGCCCAGGGGGAGCAAACAGG